AGCUAUUAUACUUUGAUCAGGAAGAUAUUGGUGGAUUGAGCCUUUGCCUACAGCUACUGGAAAGAGGUCACAUGAAAAUUUCUCUUCUGGGAGUUAUGGAAGAGUUGGGGAGAAAGAACAUGGUCUUCAGCAACUGAGAUUCAAAGCUGCUUCGCUUUCUUUCUCAAGUGUUUCAUCAAGGAAGAAGAUGAAACCAAAUGAACCCAAGAUCCGGAUUCCGAAAUCUUCUGACCUGUAGAAGAGGAAUAGGCCAUUGAGAUUACUCUUAGUGCAUGCUGAAACAGAAUCUCAACAAGACAUUACGCUGUUGAUUUAAUCAUCAACUAUAGUAGUGUAAUGUGGUCUGAAUUCUUUCUUAUUAAAUUCAGCUGGUAUUUCAUCCCUAUUAAGAUCUGUAUGUGCAGCAUUCGUUUUUGAGGUCUCUAAUCCCAAAAUCUUUUUUGUCAAAUCCUUUCAGUAAAUUAGCAUGUCGAAUCACGUUUGUUGAUCUUUUUUCAAAAGCAUAUUCACUGAGUACACUACCUGCAUAUUACAGGCUUAUAUAAUAAUAGCUUAGAAAGAUAUCAGAAUUUAUGUUUGGGAAUGAACUUCCUGCCAAAAGAGAGUGAAAAUAAGGAGAGGAUUAAGAAGACCAAGUAAAGAAGAGGUGUGGUUUUGCAAUCUAUGACUGCGGCUGUGACAAAGCUUUUCAUAGUGGUCAGGAUGGUAAAGGGUACUACCAGUUUUCUGCCGACUCUGAUUCCACACUUCAGAAAGUACAGGUACUGGGACAUUGUUUGGAACAGAGCUGGAGGUGACGAUGUGGUGGAAAACUCAUUUGCAGGCUACAAGGACUGGAUAUAGAGUAAUGGUUUAAUAAUGGUUUUAGAAUGGUAAAUGAUUGCAGAAGCAACAUGGAAUUCAAUAGUUGAUAUUUUGACUAUAAGAUGAGUUUCAUCCCUGCCUUAAUUCACUUAAAUCCUGUGAUUUCAUGCCUCUUUUUGUUCUGAUUCUGAGAAUUUGGGAUGGAUUAUGGUUUAACUUUUGCUUUGAUAUGCCUCUAGAGAGCCGCCACCACUGCUUUGUCCAAAUCUGAUGGCUUGCGCUGUAGCAUCUGCGUGAAUCUCCCUGCACAACUGGACUCCAGGACGUUUUCCAAAUAAACUCCAGACUCCAAAGGGUGCGGCUGAAAGGGUAGAAUCUGAGGCAAUCAAAUCCAAUCCGGGGAAGAGAUUGGAUAGUUUCUGACAUGUGGCUUUCUAUUUUUAAUCAAGUUUUUCUUUUUACGAAAUUGUAAAACCACUUCAAUUUUUCAGCAAUGGUGUUUCUAAACUGGGCAGGCUAAUCCGGAGAAUACAGUUGGGGUAUUGACAAUGGCAGGCAAAGGGGUUCGGGUUUUGGCUACUCCAACCUCUGAUCUUGGCAGGAUUUUGGCAUGCAUGCAAGGCUUAGUUGUCAAUUCAUAACUAAUUUGUUUGUGUGAUUCGAUUUGAAUUUGAAAAUUUUAUAUGUUUAUCUUAUUUGUAGAGUUAAAUAGCUGAUGAAUCUUUAUCGAUGAAGCAGUUGGAAUGGUUUUGUUGAAUGUGAAUGAUCAUUGUCUAGGGGGAACAUUAUAAUCCAAAGCUGUAACUUGAGUUUUGGAGUGAAACUCGAAAAAGCUUUGGUACUAAAUAUUAUCGUGUAUGAAUGUGAUUAUAAUCUAAAGCUGUAACUUGAGGUUUUGGAGUGAAACUCAAAAGAGCUUUAAUACGAGAUAUUAUUGUGUAUGAAUGUGAUACUUGAUCUUACUAUACACUGCGAAUAAGUAAUAAGAGAUGGUCCGUUUUAAGUGUCAUUUGUCUUCAGAAACUCAAAUUUUGACUCUUUUGUAUAUUUUGGCGGAAAUGCAGGAGUGGGUGCUCUUUGCUGCUGUCUUUGCGGUGAGGAAUUCGAAGAAUAUGCGCUUCCAAGCAAUUCAUUAUAGGCAUUGCUUAUUCCUGAGAUACUUCUUCCUGCAGCUGUUCACUGGGAAAUAUGCGGCGCAUGAUAGGCGAGAACUUUUCUUCAUUGUGAACAUUCAAGUAAAUCCCGUCUUUCAAUAUUUUUCUAUUAUUCUUUGCAUUGUUCUUUCUUGGGUUUUCUGUGAGAUUUAUUGGAAUGGUGGUUGUUUAGUGGUUUUCUAGGUUGCUGAUAAAAGAAUUUUGGGUAACGUGGUGGUUUGGGAUAGCUAUAGUCCUUGAUGGAUUUCAAAUCAAGACAAUAUUUUAGUUUAAACUUUCAGUAACCCAAGGCAUAGGCAAAUUUAGAUUUUUGCCUUCCUUUUUCUCGCCCGGUCUCGGAAAAGCAUGUAAUAGAGACACCACUUUUUUAUAAUCUUUGGAAGUAUUUGGUUGUCGACUGGACGAUCCUAAUAGCGUAUCCAUUGGAGGUUGUUUGGAUUCAUAUUUCUAAUUUUUUUUUUUUUUAAAUAUGUCUAGAAAUCAUAAAGAUGCUUCUGAAGAAUGAUAAGUAACGAUUUCCAAAAUUUUAUUGUAAUGUUUUUUCAAUGGUGUCAAAGAGCUAAAACUGAAAGAUGGGUUCUUUUUUAGUUAUGUUUUUUUUGUUUUUGUUUUUGGAUAGCUCUUCUGGUUGAAAAAGGAUGAACAUUCUUUGUUAUUUUCUCGCUCAUUUCAUUAUCUAUUUCUAUAAAAUCUCAUACUCAUGAAUAUUGUCAUCAAGGUGGAUAGCAUGAAAAUGUUAAUGCACUUUCCUCUGCCAGUUUAUCAAUUUGAAUUCCACUUUAUUUGUGGUUUGUUAAUUGAAAUAUGUACAGCGAAAUUCAUUAUUUUGAGUAUGUUCUUACUUGGCAUUUGUAAGCUUUUGAUUAGUUAUGAAAGGUUAUAUACUUUUUGCGCGUUUAUAAACUUAUGACAAGGAAUUAGUUAAUUUUUAGUUGGGUUAAAAUGAUAUUGAUUGUGGUGUUAUAAAGCUCCUUUUUAUAGUUAGGUUAAAAUAACAUUAAAAGAUUCUUUAUUUGGUUGAUCCAAUUUAAUCCUCCUUUUGUUUUAGUUUCGUGUUAGCACAUGGGGUAUAUUGCUUUGCUUGCUGGUUAUUCGAUGUGCCGUCAAAUUUGAGUAUCUUUAUGUGGAAAUGAUUCAUAGCUGUUGUAGAUUAUAGUAGCACUUCGUUUUGAUUUGUAAACAAACUAUAUCUUUGUCUUGGGUUAUAGUAUAAUGUUUAACAAUUGAAUUUGCAA